GUUUGAUCAAUUGUUUAAUGCAGAGCAACCGUGAAAGCACCACUCCAAUCGAUCCUUCUUCCGUUGUCCCUACUAAACCUCCUGAAUUCAUCCCAGCUGAUUCUCCUGCACCUGCACCAAGUAGUGCAAACAACGUUCGUACACCAGACACAAACAAUAAGAAAGACAAUAUGCCAGCAAACUAUAUUAGCUCUUACACUCUAAGGAAUGCUGUGACAAGACGUGUGCAGGCAAGGGGCAACAAAAGAAGCGAAUGUGUACAAUCCGCAAGUGCAAGCGAGAAGCAAGGUAGAUCAACUUAAGAAGCUCUAUCAAAGUGUGUUUAAGGUUCCUUGUCGUCGUGAUAUCGUCGUCAGCCUAGCUAACCAUCGCUUGCAUCAAUGGAGGGGAUGGAGGGGUACACGAUGACAAAAAAAACUUCCAAUAAUUUGCUAGUCCUGAGUAGUUUAUUAUCUAUGUUAUCACAAUCCAAGCUAGUAUGAGGAUGUUGUGACUGUGAGCUAUGUUAUCAAAUUAAUUUGUAUUUGGCCACUAUUUAUUUGGUGCAACCUAUUUGUUACAACUUAUGGUAUGGAUGUAGUUAAUAUAUGAGAUAAGAGACAAAUAUUAUGGUUGUCAA